rnacentral:sRNA from 1 species
CGGCCUGCUUGGCUCGGGUCUCUUCGUAUUCUCGCUCACUGCCUUCAAUAAUCUGGAGAAUCUUGUCUUUGGCAAAGGAUUCCAAGCAAAGAUCUUCCCUGAGAGUAAGUGAAUAUUGGAGCUUGAGUAUUUGAACUUUCUCCUCUUUAACCUCCUGAAACAUGAUAUUGAAUUUCCAGAUGCUUAGGUGGUAAAGGUUGUUAAGGAGAAAUAUAUUUACUGAAGCUGUCUGAAGACAGAUGACACUUCCAUUCUGCACCUUGUAUAGCUCCUGGAGUUGGAGCUGGAAGAGAAGGCCUUUGAAAGCAAGAAACUUUGUUCUCCUGUGCCUCCUGUUGGCUCUCUUUGCAUCUGGCCUCAUCCACCGAGUCUGUGUCACCACCUGCUUCAUCUUCUCCAUGGUUGGUCUGUACUACAUCAACAAGAUCUCCUCUACCCUGUACCAGGCAGCAGCUCCAGUCCUCACACCAGCCAAGGUCACAGGCAAGAGCAAGAAGAGAAAUUGACCCUGAAUGUUCAAUAAAGUUGAUUCUUUGUA